rnacentral:rRNA from 1 species
ACCCGCUGAACUUAAGCAUAUCAAUAAGCGGAGGAAAAGAAACCAACAGGGAUUGCCUUAGUAACGGCGAGUGAAGCGGCAACAGCUCAAAUUUGAAAUCUGGCCUCUUUGGGGUCCGAGUUGUAAUUUGCAGAGGGCGCUUUGGCGUUGGCAGCGGUCCAAGUUCCUUGGAACAGGACGUCACAGAGGGUGAGAAUCCCGUACGUGGUCGCUAGCCUUCGCCGUGUAAAGCCCCUUCGACGAGUCGAGUUGUUUGGGAAUGCAGCUCUAAAUGGGAGGUAAAUUUCUUCUAAAGCUAAAUACUGGCCAGAGACCGAUAGCGCACAAGUAGAGUGAUCGAAAGAUGAAAAGCACUUUGGAAAGAGAGUCAAACAGCACGUGAAAUUGUUGAAAGGGAAGCGCUUGCAGCCAGACUUGCCUGUAGUUGCUCAUCCGGGCUUUUGCCCGGUGCACUCUUCUGCGGGCAGGCCAGCAUCAGUUUGGGCGGUUGGAUAAAGGUCUCUGUCAUGUACCUCUCUUCGGGGAGGCCUUAUAGGGGAGACGACAUGCAACCAGCCCAGACUGAGGUCCGCGCACUUGCUAGGAUGCUGGCGUAAUGGCUGU